rnacentral:rRNA from 1 species
UACGAACUGUGCAAACGUUAUUCGGAUUCACUGGGCUUAAAGGGCGCGUAGGCGGCUUGCCAAGUAGGGUGUGAAAGCCCCCGGCUUAACCGGGGAAUUGCGCCCUAAACUGGCGAGCUGGAGUGAGAUAGGGGUGUGUGGAACUUCCGGUGGAGCGGUGAAAUGUGUUGAUAUCGGAAGGAACGCCGGUGGCGAAAGCGACACACUGGGUCUCAACUGACGCUGAGGCACGAAAGCCAGGGGAGCGAACGGG